rnacentral:rRNA from 1 species
AUUGAACGCUGGCGGCAUGCUUUACACAUGCAAGUCGAACGGCAGCGCGGGCUUCGGCCUGGCGGCGAGUGGCGAACGGGUGAGUAAUGCAUCGGAACGUGCCCAGUAGUGGGGGAUAGCCCGGCGAAAGCCGGAUUAAUACCGCAUACGACCUGAGGGUGAAAGCGGGGGACCGAAAGGCCUCGCGCUAUUGGAGCGGCCGAUGUCGGAUUAGCUAGUUGGUGGGGUAAAGGCUUACCAAGGCGACGAUCCGUAGCUGGUCUGAGAGGACGACCAGCCACAAUGGGACUGAGGCACGGCCCCGACUCCUAAGGGAGGCAGCCGUGGGGAAUUUUGGACAAUGGGGGCAACCCUGAUCCAGCCAUGCCGCGUGCGGGAAGAAGGCCUUCGGGUUGUAAACCGCUUUUGUUCGGGAAGAAAUCCUCUGGGCUAAUACCCCGGGGGGAUGACGGUACCGGAAGAAUAAGCACCGGCUAACUACGUG